rnacentral:rRNA from 1 species
GAUAAACGCUGGCGGCGUGCUUAACACAUGCAAGUCGAACGAAGUUUUUCCUUCGGGAGAAACUUAGUGGCGGACGGGUGAGUAACGCGUGGGUAACCUGCCCUGUACAGGGGGACAACAGCUGGAAACGGCUGCUAAUACCGCAUAAGCACUUAGCACUGCAUGGUGCAUAGGGAAAAGGAGCAAUCCGGUACAGGAUGGACCCGCGUCUGAUUAGCCAGUUGGCAGGGUAACGGCCUACCAAAGCGACAAUCAGUAGCCGAUCUGAGAGGAUGUACGGCCACAUUGGGACUGAGACACGGCCCAGACUCCUACGGGAGGCAGCAGUGGGGAAUAUUGCACAAUGGAGGAAACUCUGAUGCAGCGACGCCGCGUGAGUGAAGAAGUAUUUCGGUAUGUAAAGCUCUAUCAGCAGGGAAGAAAAUGACGGUACCUGACGAAGAAGCACCGGCUAAAUACGUG